GUGGGGAAUAUUCCGCAAUGGGCGCAAGCCUGACGGAGCAACGCCGCGUGAAUGAAGACGGUCUUCGGAUUGUAAAGUUCUGUCAUUAGGGACGAAGGACUCAUGUAAAUAAUAUGAGGAAUGACGGUACCUAAGGAGGAAGCUCCGGCUAACUACGUGCCAGCAGCCGCGGUAAUACGUAGGGAGCAAGCGUUGUCCGGAAUUACUGGGCGUAAAGGGCGCGUAGGCGGAUAAUUAAGUCAGAUGUGAAAUCUCCAGGCUUAACUUGGAGCGUGCAUUUGAAACUGGUUAUCUUGAGGGCAGGAGAGGAAAGUGGAAUUCCUAGUGUAGCGGUGAAAUGCGUAGAUAUUAGGAGGAACACCAGUGGCGAAGGCGACUUUCUGGACUGAACCUGACGCUGAGGCGCGAAAGCAUGGGGAGCGAACAGGAUUAGAUACCCCAGUAGUCC
rnacentral:rRNA from 1 species